GACGAACGCUGGCGGCGCGCUUAACACAUGCCAGUCGAGCGAUGAAAUCUCGACAGAUCCCUUCGGGGUGAAGAUGAAAUGGAUUAGCGGCGGACGGGUGAGUAACACGUGAGUAACCUGCCUUUGACAUUGGGAUAGCCUCUGGAAACUGGGAUUAAUACCAAAUGACACUAACUGAUCACAUGAUCAAUUAGUCAAAGAAAUUCGGUCAAAGAUGGACUCGCGGCUGAUUAGCUAGUUGGUGAGGUAACGGCCCACCAAGGCGACGAUCAGUAGCCGGCCUGAGAGGGUGAGCGGCCACAUUGGAACUGAGACACGGUCCAAACUCCUACGGGAGGCAGCAGUGGGGAAUAUUGCACAAUGGGGGAAACCCUGAUGCAGCGACGCCGCGUGAGCGAAGAAGGCCUUCGGGUCGUAAAGCUCUUUUAUGAGGGAAGAUAAUGACGGUACCUCAAGAAAAAGCCCCGGCUAACUACGUG
rnacentral:rRNA from 1 species